GAUGAACGCUAGCGGCAGGCCUAACACAUGCAAGUCGAGGGGCAGCACAGAAACAGCAAUGUUUUGGUGGCGACCGGCGGACGGGUGCGUAACGCGUAUGCAACCUACCUUUAACAGGGGGAUAACGGAGAGAAAUUUCCACUAAUACCCCAUAACAUCGAUCAAGGCAUCUUGAUUGGUUGAAAACUCCGGUGGUUAAAGAUGGGCAUGCGUUGUAUUAGGUAGUUGGUGAGGUAAUGGCUCACCAAGACUACGAUACAUAGGGGGACUGAGAGGUUAGCCCCCCACACGGGUACUGAGACACGGACCAGACUCCUACGGGAGGCGGCAGUGAGGAAGAGUGGUCAAUGGGGGCAACCCUGAACCAGCCAUGCAGCGUGCAGGAAGACGGCUCUAUGAGUUGUAAACUGCUUUUAAACAGGGAUAAAGCACAGUAUGUAUACUGUGUUGAAGGUACUGUAAGAAUAAGGAUCGGCUAACUCCGUGCCAGCCGCAGCCGUAA
rnacentral:rRNA from 1 species